rnacentral:rRNA from 1 species
UGGGGGAUAUUGCACAAUGGAGGAAACUCUGAUGCAGCGACGCCGCGUGAGGGAAGAAGGUUUUCGGAUUGUAAACCUCUGUCUUCGGUGACGAAAAUGACGGUAGCCGAGGAGGAAGCCACGGCUAACUACGUGCCAGCAGCUGCGGUAAUACGUAGGUGGCAAGCGUUGUCCGGAAUUACUGGGUGUAAAGGGAGCGUAGGCGGGAGUGCAAGUCGGCUGUCUAAACUAUGGGCUCAACCCAUAAUCGCGGCCGAAACUGUACUUCUUGAGUGAAGUAGAGGUAAGCGGAAUUCCUAGUGUAGCGGUGAAAUGCGUAAAUAUUAGGAGGAACACCAGUGGCGAAGGCGGCUUACUGGGCUUUAACUGACGCUGAGGCUCGAAAGCGUGGGUAGCAAACA